GAGUUUGACUGGCUCAGAUUGAACGCUGGCGGCAUGCCUUACACAUGCAAGUCGAACGGCAGCACGGGAGCUUGCUCCUGGUGGCGAGUGGCGAACGGGUGAGUAAUGCAUCGGAACGUAUCCUGGAGUGGGGGAUAACGUAGCGAAAGUUACGCUAAUACCGCAUAUUCUGUGAGCAGGAAAGCGGGGGACCUUCGGGCCUCGCGCUCUUGGAGCGGCCGAUGUCGGAUUAGCUAGUUGGUGAGGUAAAGGCUCACCAAGGCGACGAUCCGUAGCAGGUCUGAGAGGAUGAUCUGCCACACUGGAACUGAGACACGGUCCAGACUCCUACGGGAGGCAGCAGUGGGGAAUUUUGGACAAUGGGGGCAACCCUGAUCCAGCCAUGCCGCGUGAGUGAAGAAGGCCUCGGUUGUAAG
rnacentral:rRNA from 1 species